rnacentral:misc_RNA from 1 species
GAGUACUACUCCACUUUAAUGCAGGUAAGGUGAUUUGUAAGUUAAUCUUGUUUUCAGAAGAUGGUUGCUGGAAAUUUUUAUUCCUUGUCUAAAGAUUGUUUUUGGUUAUUUUUUCCAUUUUUAAUUAACUAAACAAUGUUUUCAUUCAACUUAUGUCAAAGAAUUGUUACAUGGGGCAUUGCAUAGGGGAGAAAAUAAAUUCAUAAUGUCCACACAAGCAAUGUACCUAAUGUGCAUCGACUCUUUCUCUUUGUGACAUGCACACACACACACCCUUAUAUACACUUGAAUGUUUCCAAGUGAAAAGUGGUAAUGCGUUUCUGACACUUUGCUUAUAUUUUAGCUAUGUGGGGUUAGAG